UGAAGCAAUGCCAUAAACUGGUACAGUAAAUGGUAAGGGAUUAAAUCUGUAAUAAUUGGGCCACAGCUAGAAUUCAUAAUUUUACUAAUCACUUGUUGAUAUAUUUGAUCAACCCCCCAAAAAAACAUUUAUUAUCUCUAGCCAAAACAUAUAGCCCGGUGACCAAAGUCGGAAUUAUGAAAUUUGAAUAGUCAAAAAUAUUACACGGC
rnacentral:lncRNA from 1 species